rnacentral:lncRNA from 1 species
GCCAGUCUUCCUCUUUUUUUCAUUUUGUAUGAGCUGCCGCUAUAGCAUGGCUGCUAACAGACAAGUGCUGUAGGUCCUCGCCUGGGAACCGAACCUGGGCUGCCUAAGCGGAGCAGCUGAACUUAACUAACAGUCCAUUGGGGCUGGCCCAGAAACUUCUUUAUCUGGCAGAAAAUGGCAACUCAUCAAACCUGCAGCAGAAGGCAACUUUUCAACUCUCCAUCAAUAUGACCAGCAUUAAGCAUCCAUCAAAUGAAGGAUUGGGAGCGAUAACCUUAAAAAAUCCUGCGAGGGAACUAGUUAUUGAUUCUCUGUUCAGCCUGAUGGAUGAAGGGGCAAGGGCCACAAGUGAUUGCAGAAGGCACACACCUGGCUGCCUGCCCACUCUUGCCUGUGUUGGGCAGGACUUCUGGCUAGAAAGCAUACCUUUGGUUUUACCAAAAGCACAGUUCCCUCAUGGUGAUCAAUUGCAAUUUGAUCCAAGCUGGAGGUCUGCUCUUCCUUUCCUUUCCUUGGGAUUUCAGAAAAGCCCAGAGGACAAUUUACAAUGAAACGUAAUUACUCUUCACCUGGCUGUUUGUAUGAUUGGGAC